rnacentral:rRNA from 1 species
GACGAACGCUGGCGGCGUGCCUAAUACAUGCAAGUCGAACGCAGUGGGGACUGGUGAGUAACACGUGGGUAACCUCCCAUCAGAGUGUAUAACACUUGGAAUCAGGUGCUAAACCGAUACUGAUGGAUGGACCCGCGGUGGAUUAGCUAGUUGGUGAGGUAACGGCUCACCAAGGCCACGAUGCAUAGCCGGCCGGCGAGGGUUAUCGUCGACACUGGGACUCGGACACGGCCGAGGCUCCUACGGGAGGCAGCGGUAGGGAAUCUUCGGCAAUGGACGAAAGUCUGACCGAGCCACGCCACGUGAGUGAAGAAGGUUUUCGGAUCGUAAAGCUGUGUUGUUAGAGAAGCGGUAUCUACCCAGAAAGCCACGGCUAACUACGUGCCAGCAGCCGCGGUAAUAC